AACGAACGCUGGCGGCAUGCCUAACACAUGCAAGUCGAACGAGACCUUCGGGUCUAGUGGCGCACGGGUGCGUAACGCGUGGGAACCUGCCCUUAGGUUCGGAAUAACUCCCCGAAAGGGGUGCUAAUACCGGAUAAUGUCUUCGGACCAAAGAUUUAUCGCCUUUGGAUGGGCCCGCGUUGGAUUAGCUAGUUGGUAGGGUAAAAGCCUACCAAGGCGACGAUCCAUAGCUGGUCUGAGAGGAUGAUCAGCCACACUGGGACUGAGACACGGCCCAGACUCCUACGGGAGGCAGCAGUGGGGAAAUUUGGACAAUGGGCGAAAGCCUGAUCCAGCAAUGCCGCGUGAGUGAUGAAGGCCUUAGGGUUGUAAAGCUCUUUUACCCGGGAUGAUAAUGACAGUACCGGGAGAAUAAGCUCCGGCUAACUCCG
rnacentral:rRNA from 1 species